UCCUUACCUCACAGGGUCAUUGUGAGGCUCAGAUGAGGUCACGUGUGGAAUUAGCAGAGCAUCAGAGAAACGCUGGCCAUUGCUGUUAUCAGGGGUCAUUCGGAGGGUGCCGAGGACUGCAAAGGAAAUAAAACAUGCCUGGAAAAGCACUGAGUGAGGUGAGUGAGAUGAUCAUGUGAAAUAAGAACAUUAUCAGAGACAGUGAAUUUCUCAUGGAAGAAACAAUCAGCACUCCACAGGAAGGCAAAUGCAGGGUCUUCCCCAGAAAGCCCAAGCCCUGUCUCAGUUGUGGCCAACUCUCAGAGAUGUAGGUGGUGCAGGUGCUAUUCGUAACCUCAGCCCAUCCAAGAGCAUCUGGAGAAGGGCUUCAGGGUUGAUCUUGACUUCUGCAGAGUCAACCACCAGAGUCCUUCAGAUCCAUGCCUGGCACAGCAUUCCUCUGACCCUGACUGACAUUCCCCACUCAUCUCUGAUUUCAGAAGCCGGACACCCUUGGAGAUAAAGACUCCAUGGCAAUGCAAAAUGAUCACCUGAAGGCCAAUCAGGGUCAACACAGCUUUUCUAGACUGCAGAAAUGCCAAAUAUCAACUGUUCUCCUCCAGUAUUUUAAAUUUAAAAUAAAAAUGUCAGUCAGCCCUUUUCCUCUUUCA